UCCGUCUCCAACCCACACGCUGCCCGCCCUCGGUCACUAGCGCUUGGUGUUGUGCAGGCCAAUCACUACUCACGCUCGGUGUUGUGCAGGACUCAGUAGAACCGAAUUGAAGAAGUGCCGGGGUGCCAUCUGCGCGUGCGGCGUGCCUCCGCGUCUCCUAUGCGCUGGGCCACCGGCCGCCGCUGCCGCACCUCGGCGCCUGCCCACCGGGGUGCCAUCUGCGCGUGCGGCGUGCCUGCGUGGCUAUGUGCGCUGGGCUGCCGGCCGCCGCUACCGCGCCUCGGCUCCUGCCUGGCCGUGUCUCCGAAGUUCUAGUGAUCGGAGUUCUAGCGACUCCGCCGGCGUCUUUGAUCUGAAGUGGAGGCCCGUGUAGCCGCUGCUCGCGCAGGCCAAUGCCCACGGCUGCCUCGCGCUCCGACGCCUGGAGCAGGAGGACGGGUCGGACAAGACAUUCUCAAUCGCUGAGGUUAUAUUCUGAAUGCAAUGGAAAUUCUAUUCGUGCAUUCAUUAGCGUCUUAGGGAGAAGGAGAACUGCGGCCAUAAGAUGGAACAGUAUCAGCAGAGGUUCUUCUACCCAUCAGGGCAGUACAAUUCAGAGGGGUUUGCUGAAUUAGACAGAAAGCUCAGAAAAAGAGACAAUGAUUGACUGGCUGAACGACUCUCGACAGGGCCAAUGAAACAGAUGGACAAGAAUAUUAUCUCAGGAUCAGAUGUGUGAUGCAUUGUGUCAGAACUAUGGCUGCUGGUUGCUUUAAAGGGGUGUUUGGGAGGCAUGUGCUAAAUUUUAGCACCUCUAUCCCAAACACCCCAAUACAAAUUCAAUCACCACACCCUUCAAUUUGUAUUUGCAGUGUUAGAUCAGAUUGGCAGAAUCAUUUUCAAGGAAUUCUGAACUUUUGGCAUUGCCAGCGUCAUGCAUAACAUUUAUCGUGAAAUCCAAAUUGAAGAACAUUUAUGUUAUUCACAAGAUUUAGAUGAGUAAGGAAGGAUGAAAGGUAUUUUGAUUCAUAACAGUUUAGUUUCUUUUGCCAUUUGAGCUGGAGUCUUAUAGAAUGCUAGAAUUCUUAGACAAUCAAAUGUUUUUACUCUCUCUUUCUCUCCCUCCCUCUCGGAGGCCAUUCAUGACUUCACAUGUGUGAUCCGCUCACGUUUGCCAUACUCUGAUCUCUUGCUUGCUUUGUAAAAGCAAUCACCAUCCUAACAAUGGUCUCCUGUUUCCUUUGCAUGUCAGAUGGACACUGCCUUUGGAGUUGCAGUGGAGAUGCCCUGUUGUGUCAUUGGGGACGGGUGGGAGGAAAAACUAUGGAUUGUGCCAAUAUGGGAUUUUGCAACUGCAACUAAUCCCUCUUCCUUAUCUGCAGAUUGGGCAAUUUUAUACAGUAGAGAAACAUUGCCUCUGUUGCAAGGAGAUUUUGUUACUACUCGGACAUUAUACAAGCCAAUACUUUUUCCUAAACUUCCGUGAUGGACAUUAGCAUCCAGCUUGUGUGAAUGUAUGCAUACAUCCAUUCUGACAUCUUUUAGAUGUUAUGAUUUAUGAUGCUACUUUUCAAAAUAGCAAUAGUUUAGAGUUUCGUCAUAUGUUUUUCCCUUCUUAGUACUUGCAAAUAUGAGACAGUUUUGAAACUAUGUUCUUGAUGCGGUGUCUAUUAUUACA